AGCAGCACCAUGCCUGAGCCAGCCAAGACCGCCCCCAAGAAGGGCUCGAAGAAAGCCGUGACCAAGACCGCCGGCAAAGGAGGCAAGAAGCGCAGAAAGUCCAGGAAGGAGAGCUACGCCAUCUACGUGUACAAAGUCCUGAAGCAGGUUCACCCCGACACCGGCAUUUCGUCCAAGGCGAUGGGAAUCAUGAAUUCGUUCGUCAACGACAUCUUCGAGCGCAUUGCCGGUGAGUCCUCUCGUCUGGCUCACUACAACAAACGCUCCACCAUCACUUCCAGGGAGAUCCAGACCGCCGUGCGCCUGUUGCUGCCCGGUUUCAGCCAAUACUGUUUACCUCACUGAUGAUUCAAAUGUGGCCCUGUUCCCUGGAGGAGUCACUGGUGUUUUCAGUACAUUAGACCUUAUACCUAAGGGUCACUAUGAGGUCCAUGGCGAAGACAUGGAUUCAACCCCAGUAGGCCCUAACAGCCACAGUGGGUUACUGGCCCCUCCACGGCCACCAAAACUUUUCAGAGAUGAGUUUACCUUGCUGAGGUGGCUGGUGGGAGGUUGAUUCCCAGUAGAAUGGUGGUGGUUUGUAUCUGGAGGGUGAAGCUUCCCUUCACUGGGAAUAAUAGGAAAAGUACAAGAUGCCAUUGGCAAUUACAAUCCUAUAAUUUUGACAGAUGCCCAGGGCAGUGCCAUACUGGAGUCAGAAGUGUCACAAUACUGGAAACAAAAUGCUUGAAAAAUUCUUGCUGUGCCAGAACAAGACUUUAAUAGCCUCCAGGGAACAAUUUAAAUUGAAAAUUUUCUUGUCUUUUUCUAUCAAUACUCUUUGGAGUACAGUACAGUGCUGUGAAACAGUAUUUGUCCCAAUUUUUGAAAAGGUGAGUUAAAUUUCACUUGCCACAUCCAGGCCUGAUUAAUGCCAGACCUCUUGAAUUAAGAAAUGGGGCAAAUACUUUUUACAGCACUGUAUAUAUUAUCCACAGACCAUUGACCAGGAAAGACGUAUAACAAAACAUCUGAAGCCUCAAUUAGGAUAUUGAAUUUAUAGGCCUUUGUGCAGAGAGGGCUUGAUUUAUUCACCUUUCACUUACAAUAAA